ACCUGAAAUAAACGUUGGAAGAAAAAAAAAAAGGUAUGUUCCAGUGAAAACAAAUAAACCAUCUUAGCUGAAACAAGGUUUCACAAAAAAUAUUGCCAUGUCUCAAGGCUCAAUCUUGGAACCUCUCCUUUUCCUCUCUUCCAGUAAUCUCAUCCCAUCCCACAACUUCAAAUACUACCUAUGUAUAAACCAAAUUUACAAAAAAACUUAGCCAGGUGUUGUGCCGCACCCCUGUAGUCCCAGCUACUCCAGAGGCUGAGGUGGGAGGAUCACCUGAGCCCAGGGAGAUUGAGGCUGCAACGAGCCAUGAUCACGCCACUGCACUCCAGCCUGGGCAACAGAGUGAGACCCGGUAUCAAAAAAAAAAAAACAAAACAGAAAGUAAAUGAUCUGUUUUUAUCAAACUCAAACACUGAUAAGCAGCAGAUAAGAAAAGAACAUAUGGUAUGGACAGAAUUACCAACCAGCCCAAAAUUACACCUAGACCAGUAAGUCAACAAAGCUGAUAACCCAGUGAUACUAUGUACAAAGCAGAUUCCACACAUUCAUUCACUGUCACAGUUUCAAAGAAAAAAAAAGACUGGAAUUCUAAUGUAUCUCUAUUAAAAACCAUAAUGCUAAGGAAAACUGCAGAGUAGAUUCAAGUUUCACACUAAAUGAAACUACAUGCUCCUCAAAUCUUGUGCAAAGUUGUCUACCACAUUUUAAACUUAACUGAAUAUCACUGCCACUUCAU
rnacentral:lncRNA from 1 species